UACGUAGGGUGCAAGCGUUAAUCGGAAUUACUGGGCGUAAAGCGUGCGCAGGCGGUGAUGUAAGACAGAUGUGAAAUCCCCGGGCUCAACCUGGGAACUGCAUUUGUGACUGCAUCGCUGGAGUGCGGCAGAGGGGGAUGGAAUUCCGCGUGUAGCAGUGAAAUGCGUAGAUAUGCGGAGGUACACCGAUGGCGAAGGCAAUCCCCUGGGCCUGCACUGACGCUCAUGCACGAAAGCGUGGGGAGCAAACAGG
rnacentral:rRNA from 1 species